rnacentral:rRNA from 1 species
UACGGAGGAUCCAAGCGUUAUCCGGAAUUACUGGGCGUAAAGAGUUGCGUAGGUGGCAGAGUAAGUUAGUAGUGAAAGCGUUCGGCUCAACCGAAUAUCCAUUACUAAAACUACUCAGCUAGAGGAUGAGAGAGGUUAUUGGAAUUCCCUGUGUAGGAGUGAAAUCCGUAGAUAUAGGGAGGAACACCGAUGGCGUAGGCAGAUAACUGGCUCAUUCCUGACACUAAGGCACGAAAGCGUGGGUAGCAAACGGG